UUCUGGUGGCAGCAGUGAGCAGCACUUGUAAUUAUCAGUCAGAUUGUUAUCCGAUAAGAUGAAUUACGAGCCGUAGAAGUUAUUUGCGGUACAUGGCCAACCAUGGCUGCAAUGACCGAUUGCCAACUGGUUUCAUUGACACGUGAACCCGCGGGUAACAACUCGACGCAAUAAGUGCCACGGCCGUGCACCGAUAUUCGGUGUUGGUAUUUCUCCGCCUUUGCAGUUAUCGAUAUACAUAAGUUUCGAACCCCGGUGGCGUUGCGGCAGGCUGCCCCGACAAGGAUGAUUUAUUCUUUCUUAGCCGCGGAAUGAUAAAGCCUUGCGCAAUGAACGGACGGACGACCGGGGGCCGCAUCUCGCUGCAAGCUAGAAAGAUGAAUCUCUGAUAGAGAGAAUAGCGUUCUCAAAGAAAGUCAUAAUUCACGGUGGAGAUGCGCCGAGGAAAAUGCGACGGAGGAGAAACCCGGGUACGAGGUAUCGGCGCGAUGCGAAUACGACCUUCGACGACGAAACACUUUUUGCGUAUUGCGUUGAAGAGUCUUCGUAAAUAAUUACAUACUCGUACUUCGGUGUAUCGGCGGGAUAAAUGAAGACGCGGCGCCUUGCCUUUUCACACACGCGCGAUUCAAGGUAUAUUGACUACUGUAGUGAGUCAAAACGGGCAUUUUGUCCCGAUUACAACAUGAUCCAGGCUCGAGACUUUGAUAAACCGAAUGAUUGUGUAAGCUGUAUCACAUUUUCUCGUUAAUCGCAAUUUUAACUAAUUUGGACGAAUCAAGAAUGAAACCUCAAAAAACAGGCAAGAACGUGGAUGAAUUUUCUUAAUAUAUAUUAAUAUUAUUUGCUUGAUAAAUAUCUGUUUUGUCACUGUCAUUGA